rnacentral:ribozyme from 1 species
AUCGCACGUUUGUGGCCAUAGUAGAAGUGUUUUAUGCCCCAGCCUGUCAGAUUCCAACAAAUCUGUGAAUUCUGCU